rnacentral:rRNA from 1 species
AGUCGAGUUGGCUUAGGGAUACGUUCGUUGGGUAGGGGAGCGUUCUGUAAGCCAGUGAAGGUGUGUCGUGAGGCAUGCUGGAGGUAUCAGAAGUGCGAAUGCUGACAUAAGUAACGAUAAAGCGGGUGAAAAGCCCGCUCGCCGGAAGACCAAGGGUUCCUGUCCAACGUUAAUCGGGGCAGGGUGAGUCGACCCCUAAGGCGAGGCCGAAAGGCGUAGUCGAUGGGAAACGGGUUAAUAUUCCCGUACUUGGUGUUACUGCGAAGGGGGGACGGAGAAGGCUAUGUUGGCCGGGCGACGGUUGUCCCGGUUUAAGCGUGUAGGUGUGUGUUCCAGGUAAAUCCGGUUCACUUUAACACUGAGGCGUGAUGACGAGGCACUACGGUGCUGAAGCAACAAAUGCCCUGCUUCCAGGAAAAGCCUCUAAGCAUCAGGUAACAUCAAAUCGUACCCCAAACCGACACAGGUGGUCAGGUAGAGAAUACCAAGGCGCUUGAGAGAACUCGGGUGAAGGAACUAGGCAAAAUGGUGCCGUAACUUCGGGAGAAGGCACGCUGACACGUAGGUGAAGUGAUUUACUCAUGGAGCUGAA